ensembl:lncRNA
CAGCAUUGGGAUAGUAGUGGUGGUGGGGGUAGUAGUAGUAGUAGUAGUGGUGGGGGUAGUAGUAGUAGUAGUAGUGGUGGUGAUGGUGGCAGCAUUGGGGUAGUAGUGGUGGCGGGGGUAGUAGUAGUAGUAGUAGUGGUGGUGGGGGUAGUAGUAGUAGUAGUAGUGGUGGUGAUGGGGGUAGUAGUAGCAGUAGUAGUGGUGGUGAUGGGGGUAGUAGUAGCAGUAGUAGUGGUGGUGAUGGGGCGGCGGUGGCAGCGUUGGGGUAGUAGUGGUGGUGGGGGUAGUAGUAGUAGUAGUAGUGGUGGUGGGGGUAGUAGUAGUAGUAGUGGUGGUGAUGGGGGUAGUAGGAGCAGUAGUAGUGGUGGUGGGGGUAGUAAUAGUAGCAGUAGUAGUGGUGGUGGGGGUAGUAGUAGCAGUAGUAGUGGUGGUGGGGGUAGUAGUAGUAGUAGUAGUGGUGGUGGGGGUAGUAGUGGUAGUAGUAGUGGUGGUGAUGGGGGUAGUAGUAGCAGUAGUAGUGGUGGUGGGGGUAGUAGUAGCAGUAGUAGUGGUGGUGGGGGUAGUAGUAGUAGUAGUAGUGGUGAUGGGGGUAGUAGUAGUAGUAGUAGUGGUGGGGGUAGUAGUAGUAGUAGUGGUGGUGGGGGUAGUAGUAGUAGUAGUAGUGGUGGUGGGGGUAGUAGUAGUAGUAGUGGUGGUGAUGGGGGUAGUAGUAGUAGUAGUAGUGGUGUAGUGGUGGGGGGUAGUAGUAGUAGUAGUAGUGGUGGUGGGGGUAGUAGUAGUAGUAGUAGUGGUGGUGGGGGUAGUAGUAGUAGUAGUAGUAGUGGUGGGGGUAGUAGUAGUAGUAGUGGUGGUGGGGGUAGUAGUAGUAGUAGUAGUAGUGGUGGGGGUAGUAGUAGUAGUAGUAGUGGUGGUGGGGUAGUAGUAGUAGUAGUAGUAGUGGUGGUGGUGGGGGUAGUAGUAGCAGUAGUAGUGGUGGUGGGGGUAGUAGUAGCAGUAGUAGUGGUGGUGGGGGUAGUAGUAGCAGUAGUAGUGGUGGUGAUGGGGGUAGUAGUAGUAGUAGUAGUGGUGGUGGGGGUAGUAGUAGCAGUAGUAGUGGUGGUGGGGGUAGUAGCAGUAGUAGUGGUGGUGGUGGGGGUAGUAGUAGCAGUAGUAGUGGUGGUGGGGUAGUAGUAGUAGUAGUAGUGGUGGUGGGGGUAGUAGUAGCAGUAGUAGUGGUGGUGAUGGGGGUAGUAGUAGUAAUAGUAGUGGUGGUGAUGGGGGCGGCGGUGGCAGCGUUGGG